UGAAAAAGAACCUGAAACCGUGUACGUACAAGCAGUGGGAGCACCCUUUGGGGUGUGACUGCGUACCUUUUGUAUAAUGGGUCAGCGACUUAUAUUCUGUAGCAAGGUUAACCGUAUAGGGGAGCCGGAGGGAAACCGAGUCUUAACCGGGCGUUAAGUUGCAGGGUAUAGACCCGAAACCCGGUGAUCUAGCCAUGGGCAGGUUGAAGGUUGGGUAACACUAACUGGAGGACCGAACCGACUAAUGUUGAAAAA
rnacentral:rRNA from 2 species